rnacentral:rRNA from 1 species
GAGCUUCACCCUUGUGGUGCUCCCCCGCCAAUCCUUUAAGUUUCAUACUUGCGUACGUACUUCCCAGGCGGCAGACUUAACGGCUUCCCUGCGGCACUGCAUUGGCCACAAGCCAAUGCAUCACCGAGUCUGCAUCGUUUACAGCUGGGACUACCCGGGUAUCUAAUCCGGUUUGCUCCCCCAGCUUUCAUCCCUCACCGUCGAACGUGUUCUGGUACACCGCCUUCGCCACAGGUGGUCAUCAAUAGAUCAAAGGAUUUUACCCCUUCCUAUCGAGUACCGUGUACCUCUCCCACUCCCUAGCUGCACAGUAUUUUCGGCGGCCUAUACGUUAAGCGCAUAGAUUUAACCGAAAACUUAUGCAACCGGCUACGGAUGCUUUAGGCCCAAUAAACCUCCUGACCACUCGAGGUGCUGGUUUUACCGCGGCGGCUGACACCAGAACUUGCCCGCCCCUUAUUCACCAGUGAUUCUACAACUGACAAAAGACUCCUUUAGCAGGAGACACUCGGAUUAACCUUGUCCGUGCUUUCGCACCUUGCAAAGGUUCUUCACCUGUUGGCCCCUUAGGCUGGGUCGUGUCUCGUACCAUCUCGGGCCCUC